rnacentral:rRNA from 13 species
CCUAGGCAUACAGAGGCGAAGAAGGACGUGUAAAGCUGCGAUAAGCUGCGGGGAGUUGCAUAAGAACUGUGAUCCGUGGAUUUCCGAAUGGGGCAACCCACUCUAAUUUAUUAGGGUAUCCUUUCGAGGAGGCAUACCCCCCGAACUGAAACAUCUAAGUAGGGGGAGGAAGAGAAAACAACAGUGAUUCCGCAAGUAGUGGCGAG